UUGAAUGAUAUGAAUCUUACUAAUAUAAUAAAAGAAACCUCUAAUGGGACAGAUGUCAUGUUCUGAGGCCUCCUCAAGUUUUUUUCCCGGGGCUUAACUUCGGGUCACAAGCGGUGCCCCAAACAUCUAUAACCCGAAUCUAUUUUUAAUUAGCAUAAUCUGCGCCUCAUUAGGUUUUUUCAAGAGACUUAUCACAAACCCUAAUCUCAAACUAUCCAUCUUCCCUCAUAGUAUCAGAGGCAAAGUUCAAGAUUUCCCAACAUGCUGCUACUUAACAAUUAACAGUUUCCAAACUCCUCAUCCAUCAUUCUCGCAUGAUGGUUCUGGAAACUCAACUCGACGGUGUGAUUUUGUACCGCAAACCCUAAUUCUAAGAGGUUAGUGUUCGAUUUAUUGUCGAGCAUCGUUUUUGUGGUGCCACAAACCCUAAUUCUUCAUAUAUCGAUUUGAAUCGUAUCUGCUCUGCUAUUCAAUUUCCCGGCUGUAUCCGUUUUCUAACUUGCAAUACGCCUUAUUUUUCUCGAAAUAUCAUAUAAUACUCCACAAAGAGGAAGAUUUCAAAGGGGAUUGAUGAUGAAAACUAUCGUGUUCUUGUGCAGCUGAUUCUGGAAUAGUUCAAGAUUUUGUUUUUGGAGGAUUCGCCACUGAAUCCAAUGUGGACGACGUCAUUGUGAUCGGAGGAUACAUGGCAGCAAUUAUCGCCGCUCAAAACAUCCUGUAUUGAGAAACGGGGGUGUUGUUGGUGCUACUUGCCACCAUGCCGGCUGUAUCCCUUCUAAGGAUAGGAGCAUCUUCAUUCUUCUCAUGAAACCCAAGACUAAGUUUGCAAAUCAUGGCAUAAAGUGUGAGAGUGCAAAGAUGAUUCUCACUGCCAUGAUGGCCCAUAAGGACAAAGUCGUCUUUAAGAUAACAAAAGGCAUCGAAUCCCUUUUCAAGAAGAAUAAGGUUAGCCAUGUCAAAGACGACUGGUAUAAUUUUAUUUUUUGCUUAAUUCAAUUUUAAUUUUGUUAUUCAUUUUUAUUCUUACCCACUCCCCUUUAUUGAUGUUUGUGUCUGAUAGUAAUCAAAAAAUAUUGUAAGAAAAUUACAAAAUCAACUUCAAUUUCAGUUUGCAAAAAAUAUUGUAAGAAAAUUACAAAAUUAACUUCAAUUUUAGUGUACGAACCGUUGUUAUUUGUUGGUAAUAUCAAUAUCAAUUCAGCGGUUAUCGGCACAAUUCGCUAAUUUACAGGUUAUAAUUUGAUAUUAGUUACUUAGUGGAUCAAAUCUGUUUGUCUUUUGUGUGUCAUAUCGUUUAUGUCUUUAGUGUCUAAAUUAAAAUGAUUUUUGUUUAGAUGUUAAUGUUCUGAAACUAUAUCUUCUCCAUCUGUCUUUCAUUGGAUAUAGAAAUUUAUUAGUUUCAGCUGAGUUUUUUUUACCCAUUUGAUUGCCAGGUUUAUUUAUCAUUUAUAACAUACCACAGAAUUAUAAAACUUAGUUCUGAUAGGCGGAUUGAAUGGGUAACAGUUAUUUCCAAUAGACGUGUCAAAUGGGUAAAAGUGUGUCGUUAAUUCAUCUUGGUCAAAGAAAUAAUCGAAACAUUACUUCGUUUUUGAAAAUUUGGAUGGAAGUCUCUGGUCAACCCAAAUUUAGCUUAAAAUUGUCUGUCUAUUCACUUCUGCGACUAACCAUCACUUAAAGGGUGUUCCAGGUUUGCUUAAAGCGUUUCUGGGUUUUGUGAGUCACAGGUAACCAAAGGCAUGUUUUGGGAUUAGAAUGGAGUGUUGAAGAAAGAGAAUUAAACAUGUAUUCUUGGCUUUUGUUAUGAUGUGAUUGAAAAAUGUAAGGUAUGGUGUGUGUGCUUCUAGAAGUUGUAACCAAUAAGCAUAUUUAAUUAAACAGUUAAACACACACCCAUGGUAUACAAGGUAUAUGAACUCUUAAUAUGGUGUCUAUUCAUGAGGAUUGAGAACAUUGGUGUAUAAGGCAACCAUGUGAUGAUGUUCAAAUUGAAGGCAUUACUAAUCCUCAAGAAUUCAGAAAGGUUGGGAUACAAACCAGUUUUAUUAUGGAUGUUAAUGAAGCCGCUUUGGUUAUGUUUGGUGUUAUCAGAAAUACUGGUAAUGAUGCCCAUUAUAGGUUGAGUCCUCUUUGGAGAGAUAAUAAAACUACCAAUUUGUAAUCAAUCAUGUUGUCUACUCAUGUUUUGCCAAUGGCAAAUCUACUGGAGAGAGUUCAUGUAAUUUUUCAAUUUUUGAAUAUAUGUUCUGCAGUUAAUAUUACUGAUUUUUCAUACAAUUUAAAGACUUUAUGUUAAUGAUAUGUAGUAGGAGGGAAAGGAUUUAGAUCAAGAAGAUAUUUAGUUCAGGAAGUCAAGUCAAAUAACAUAGUCAAGGUUUGCUUAAUAAAUGCCCUUCAUUUU